rnacentral:rRNA from 1 species
UACGUAGGGUGCGAGCGUUGUCCGGAAUUAUUGGGCGUAAAGAGCUCGUAGGCGGUCUGUCGCGUCGGUCGUGAAAACUUGGGGCUUAACCCUGAGCUUGCGGUCGAUACGGGCAUGACUGGAGUUCGGCAGGGGAGAGUGGAAUUCCUGGUGUAGCGGUGAAAUGCGCAGAUAUCAGGAGGAACACCAAUGGCGAAGGCAGCUCGCUGGGACGGUACUGACGCUGAGGCGCGAAAGCGUGGGGAGCAAACAGG